CACCUCUACGGCCACGCCCACACGCCGGCGCCGCCUGGGGUCCUUCCGAGCAUAGAGAUAUGAUUGGCCAGGGAGGAGCGGGCCUCUUUUUCUCCCUGGCCGUCUGAAGGUCUGUCGCCAUCAUGAACGACACAGUAACUAUCCGGACCAGGAAGUUCAUGACCAACCGGCUACUUCAGAGGAAGCAGAUGGUUAUCGAUGUCCUUCACCCUGGAAAGGCAACAGUACCUAAGACAGAAAUUCGGGAAAAACUUGCCAAAAUGUACAAGACCACACCUGAUGUCAUCUUUGUAUUUGGAUUCAGAACCCAUUUUGGUGGUGGCAAGACAACUGGCUUUGGCAUGAUUUAUGAUUCCUUGGAUUAUGCAAAAAAAAAUGAGCCCAAACACAGACUUGCACGACAUGGCCUGUAUGAAAAGAAGAAGACCUCAAGGAAACAGCGGAAAGAACGCAAAAACAGAAUGAAGAAAGUCAGAGGGACUGCAAAGGCCAAUGUUGGGGCUGGCAAAAAGAAGAAAUGAAGUGUCUAGCAGGUACUGUAGCAGGUACUGAGAUGUGAGCUGGAGAUUGGAUAACAGCCAAAGGAAUAAAGAUCCUGCAAUGACUUGACCUGCGAUGAUGGUGAAUUUUUCACAGAGGGAUUAAUAAACUGUAUAAAUCUUC